CUGCCCAGUGACAUAUGUUUAACGGCCGCGGUAUCCUAACCGUGCAAAGGUAGCAUAAUCAUUUGCCUAUUAAUUGUAGGCUAGAAUGAACGGAUAAACGAAAUAAAAACUGUCUCAGUCAGUAACCUAAAAAUUAAUUUUUGCAUGAAGAAUUGCAGAUAAAAUCGAAGGACAAGAAGACCCUAUAGAGCUUUAUUUUACAUACAGAUUAUAAAACUGUACAAAAAUUCGGUUGGGGCGACCAAGGACAUUAUCAAACACCCUUAAUAAAAAGAUAUAUUAAUCUAUAAAAUGACCCUUAUUAAGAUCACAAAAUCAAGCUACCUUAGGGAUAACAGGCUAAUCCUAUUUAAGAGUUCAUAUCUACAAUAGGGCUUGGCACCUCGAUGUUGGCUUAGAGAAUCAAUAUAGCGCAAAAGUUAUAUAAAGAUGGUUUGUUCAACCAAUAAUUCUCU
rnacentral:rRNA from 1 species